rnacentral:rRNA from 1 species
ACAUGCAGUCGAGCGGACAGAUGGGAGCUUGCUCCCUGAUGUUAGCGGCGGACGGGUGAGUAACACGUGGGUAACCUGCCUGUAAGACUGGGAUAACUCCGGGAAACCGGGGCUAAUACCGGAUGCUUGUUUGAACCGCAUGGUUCAAACAUAAAAGGUGGCUUCGGCUACCACUUACAGAUGGACCCGCGGCGCAUUAGCUAGUUGGUGAGGUAAUGGCUCACCAAGGCAACGAUGCGUAGCCGACCUGAGAGGGUGAUCGGCCACACUGGGACUGAGACACGGCCCAGACUCCUACGGGAGGCAGCAGUAGGGAAUCUUCCGCAAUGGACGAAAGUCUGACGGAGCAACGCCGCGUGAGUGAUGAAGGUUUUCGGAUCGUAAAGCUCUGUUGUUAGGGAAGAACAAGUACCGUUCGAAUAGGGCGGUACCUUGACGGUACCUAACCAGAAAGCCACGGCUAACUACGUGCCAGCAGCCGCGGUAAUACGUAGGUGGCAAGCGUUGUCCGGAAUUAUUGGGCGUAAAGGGCUCGCAGGCGGUUUCUUAAGUCUGAUGUGAAAGCCCCCGGCUCAACCGGGGAGGGUCAUUGGAAACUGGGGAACUUGAGU